GAUGAACGCUGGCGGCGUGCCUAAUACAUGCAAGUCGAGCGAACAGACGAGGAGCUUGCUCCUCUGAUGUUAGCGGCGGACGGGUGAGUAACACGUGGAUAACCUACCUAUAAGACUGGGAUAACUUCGGGAAACCGGAGCUAAUACCGGAUAACAUGUUGAACCGCAUGGUUCAACAGUGAAAGACGGUUUUGCUGUCACUUAUAGAUGGAUCCGCGCUGCAUUAGCUAGUUGGUAAGGUAACGGCUUACCAAGGCAACGAUGCGUAGCCGACCUGAGAGGGUGAUCGGCCACACUGGAACUGAGACACGGUCCAGACUCCUACGGGAGGCAGCAGUAGGGAAUCUUCCGCAAUGGGCGAAAGCCUGACGGAGCAACGCCGCGUGAGUGAAGAAGGUCUUCGGAUCGUAAAACUCUGUUAUUAGGGAAGAACAAAUGUGUAAGUAACUAUGCACGUCUUGACGGUACCUAAUCAGAAAGCCACGGCUAACUACGUG
rnacentral:rRNA from 1 species